GUGGGGAGAGGGGAUGAUGUAUCCCAGGGGAAGACAGGGCCGGCAUGUUGGCCUUCUGUGACUCUGGGACCCCUGCUGCUCUCCCUACCCUCUAUCCAGGAGGAGAUUGAGGCUGCCUGUGAGAUGCUCCAGGAUCGCUGCCGCCGCCUGGGCUCCAAAAUCCGGGAGCUCCUGGUGCUGCCCAUUUAUGCCAAUCUGCCCUCUGACAUGCAGGCCCGUAUCUUCCAGCCCACACCACCUGGGGCACGAAAGGUCAGUUGGAGAAACCCACACUCUUCACCC
rnacentral:lncRNA from 1 species